CCUACGGGAGGCAGCAGUGGGGAAUAUUGCGCAAUGGGCGAAAGCCUGACGCAGCGACGCCGCGUGAGGGAUGAAGGUCUUCGGAUCGUUAACCUCUGUCAGCAGGGAAGAACGGUCACUGUGCUAAUCAGCAGUGAAUUGACGGUACCUGCAAAGGAAGCACCGGCUAACUCCGUGCCAGCAGCCGCGGUAAUACGGAGGGUGCGAGCGUUAAUCGGAAUUACUGGGCGUAAAGCGCUCGUAGGCGGUAUGUCAAGUCAAGGGUGAAAUCCCCGCGCUCAACGUGGGAACUGCCUUUGAAACUGGCAAACUGGAGUGUGUGAGAGGAUAGUGGAAUUCCAGGUGUAGGAGUGAAAUCCGUAGAUAUCUGGAGGAACAUCAGUGGCGAAGGCGACUAUCUGGCACAUAACUGACGCUGAGGAGCGAAAGCGUGGGUAGCAAACAGGAUUAGAUACCCGAGUAGUC
rnacentral:rRNA from 1 species